rnacentral:lncRNA from 1 species
UCUGUUAUUAACUAAUGACACUAAAUACUAUGAUGAUUUGUAUGAUUAUAUAUUUAGUCUAUAUGAUAACGUUUUAUUCAUUUUAUUACUUUUAUCAAAUGAAAAUAAUACAUACCAUGAUAAUACAUACCAUGAUAACAUGUACAAAAAAGACAACAAUAAUAGUGUAAAUGAAAAUGUGAUUGCUAAGGGGUUAGUAGUAGAAUUAAAAAAAGACCUGAACAUAAAAAAUUCAUUAUAUAAUAAGGUAAUAGUUCUUAAUAAAUAUUUUUAUGUUAAUAAAUUUUUUUUAAGAUUAACUAUAAGUGAUGAUAUAUAUGAUUUACAUGAACUGCUUAAGAAAUAUUCAUCUGAAAAUAUAAAUAAAGAGAAUGAUUACCUGAUUUAUAAUAUUAUUGAAAACAAAACAGAUUUGGACAUAUUAAUAAGUAUAUUAAAUAGUAAAAAAAAAAUAAUAGGUUUUGCCUGGUUAAAAAAAAACAUAGAUCUUAAUAUUUUAGUUAACUUAUACAAUUUAAAGGAUUACAACUAUCUUAUGAAAAAAGAAUUUUUUUCAGAAAUAUCCAAGCAACUGAAAUCAUACAAAAGCAGUGACAAGAAUUUAAAAAAAAAAAAAAAGAAAUACAUGUUUGUUGAAUUUAAGCAAUAUAUUUUAAAAAACAUAAAAUUAGAAUCUCUAGAUUGUUUAGAAAAAAAAUACGAAAUUAAAGAAGAACUUAUUUAUGAAUUUCUGAGUGAACAUAUAAUUCACGAUGUGGACAUAUAUGCCGAUUAUUUUAUAAAACAAAAUAUAGAUAUAAAUAAGUUAAUAAAAAACAUUUAUAGUAAGCUAGAAUAUGAUUACGAACACUUUAAACGCGAUUCUGGAAGUAACAUACAUCUUGCUAGCUUAAACAAGUUAAUAAGUUUGUGUUCACAUAUAAGUUUUACAGAUGUAGCCAAAGUUUGCGAAAAGUUUCACAAACAUUUCGAAAAAAUCGAAAUGCUAUAUUUUAAUUUUAAUAAUGAUAAAACAUAUAAAAAAAUAUACGAAAACAUCAAAAAGCUAAGACACACAAAAAAAAAUGAUGAAUCAUUUAAAACAGGUAGUAAAAGAAUAAAUACCAUGAAAAUGAACCGAGUUAAUAGCAUUAAAAAAUCACAAAAAGAUUUUAAAGAUGUAAUAACUUUGUCUUACUACGAUAUUUUUUUGUUACUAGAAAACAUUUACCCUGAUACUUUUAAAAAGAAUGAGAUUAUACUAUUAUUUUUAUUUUUAGACUUGUAUGAUUUUAUUAGUAUAGAUGAACUUACACCUUUCGAUUGUAUUGCAUUUAAACAAUAUCUAGAUGAGUUAGUAAAUAUCAGAACUAUAUAUUUUAUAUGCAAAUAUAAACAUGUCGACUGGUUACGUAAUCUUAAUCAAAAUGAGAAAAAUGCAUUUUCUUUAAAUUUAUUUAUUUUAAAUGAUAAAUAUUAUAACAACUGCAAAGAAAUAUUAUUAAGAAUGGAAAAUAUAUUUUUUAACGAAGUUGAUUAUAUUAUUGCAACUAACAACGAACGGAUGAAUAUUCCAUUAAUAUUAAACUAUUUUAAUAGAGUUAAAAAAAAAAACAAAAAUAAUACAUUAGAAUCAUUAUAUAUACUAAAUAAAUAUACUCUUUUUUUAUUACCAUAUACUGAUUAUAUGAAACUAGGUGAUAUCGAUAAGGUAUUUCAUUUUUUAAAAAAUGUUAAUCACUCUGAAAAGAACAAAAUAAAUCAAAUUAUUGCAGGACUAAAGGAAUUUAUAAAAAAAAAAACAAUUGAAACCUUUCAACAACUAGAACAGCAACACUUAUGUUUAGGUUCGAAUAAUAUUUUUGCACGUGUAUUUUGACAUCGACACGUGUACACAUAUGAACAUAUAUACAUAUACAUGAGUCGUACAAAAAAACACACACAGGCAUAUAGACAUAUAGACAUAUAGUUACAUAGGCAAUAUGACCAUAUAAGGUAUACACACGUACAUAUUGAAUUAAUAACCCUACACAAUUAAAUUCCAAAAAAUUUCAUUCUGUUUUUUAUCAUUACCUUUUUUUAUCACUCCCUUUUUUUAUCACUACCUUUUUUUAUCAUUACCUUUUUUUAUCACUCCCUUUUUUU